rnacentral:sRNA from 1 species
GCCAGGCAGGUUAGUGUGUGUGCCUGUAGUCCCAGCUGCUCCGGAGGCUGAGUCAGGAGGCUAGCUUGAGCCCAGGAGUUGGAGGCCAGUCUGGGCAACCUAGUGAGACUCUGCCUCCU